GAGUUUGAUCUUGGCUCAGAUUGAACGCUGGCGGCAUGCCUUACACAUGCAAGUCGAACGGCAGCAUGAUCUAGCUUGCUAGAUUGAUGGCGAGUGGCGAACGGGUGAGUAAUACAUCGGAACGUGCCCUGUAGUGGGGGAUAACUAGUCGAAAGAUUAGCUAAUACCGCAUACGACCUGAGGGUGAAAGUGGGGGACCGCAAGGCCUCAUGCUAUAGGAGCGGCCGAUGUCUGAUUAGCUAGUUGGUGGGGUAAAGGCCCACCAAGGCGACGAUCAGUAGCUGGUCUGAGAGGACGAUCAGCCACACUGGGACUGAGACACGGCCCAGACUCCUACGGGAGGCAGCAGUGGGGAAUUUGGACAAUGGGCGAAAGCCUGAUCCAGCAAUGCCGCGUGUGUGAAG
rnacentral:rRNA from 1 species